rnacentral:rRNA from 1 species
UACUUGUACUUAGCGGCAAAUGGGUGAGUAACACGUACCUAACCUACCUCAUGGUUUGGGAUAACUGAAGGAAACUUCGGCUAAUACCAAAUAUGUUAAGAGUUCGCAUGAACUUUUAACCAAAGAAGCGUUUGCUUCGCCAAGAGAUGGGGGUGCGCUACAUUAGGUAGUUGGUAGGGUAAAGGCCUACCAAGCCGAUGAUGUAUAGCGGGGUUGAGAAGCUGAUCCGCCACACUAGGACUGAGAUACGGCCUAGACUUCUACGGAAGGCAGCAGCAGGGAAUCUUCCACAAUGAGCGAAAGCUUGAUGGAGCGACACAGCGUGCAGGAUGAAGGCCUUAGGGUUGUAAACUGCUGUUAUGAGGGAAGAAAAGUUAAGGGAGGAAAUGCCUUUAAUUUGACGGUACCUGAUGAGAAAGCACCGGCAAACUAUGUGCCAGCAGUCGCGGUAAUACAUAGGGUGCAAGCGUUAUCCGGAUUUAUUGGGCGUAAAGCGUUCGUAGGUGGUAUGCUAAGUCUGGAGUUAAAGCCUAGAGCUCAACUCUAGCUCGCUUUAGAUACUAGCAUACUAGCAUCAUGAAGAGGUUAGUGACUCCAUGGAAGCGGUGAUGCUAGAAUAUAGGAAACGUAGAACGGUAAGGAACUGAGGGAGAAGCGUGGGGAUCAAAUAGGAUUAGAUACCCUAGUAGUCACGCCGUAAACGAUGCUAGUUAGCUGGUGGCCGAGUCACUAGCGCAGUUAACACGUUAAACUAGCCGCCUGAGUAGUAUGCUCGCAAGAGUGAAACUUAAAGGAAUUGACGGGGACCCGCACAAGCGGUGGAGCAUGUGGUUUAAUUCGAAGCUACGCGAAGAACCUUACCCACUCUUGACAUCCUUGGCAAAGCUAUAGAGAUAUAGUCGAGGUUAACCAAGAGACAGGUGGUGCAUGGCUGUCGUCAGCUCGUGUCGUGAGAUGUUAGGUUAAGUCCUGUAACGAGCGCAACCCUCAUCCUUAGUUACUAACAUUUAGUUGAGAACUCUAGGGAGACCGCCGGGGUAACCCGGAGGAAGGCGAGGAUGACGUCAGGUCAUCAUGCCUCUUACGAGUGGGGCGACACACGUGCUACAAUGGCAAGUACAAAGAGAAGCAAUACGGCGACGUGGAGCAAAUCUGCAAAACUUGUCUCAGUUCGGAUUGAAGUCUGCAACUCGACUUCAUGAAGUCGGAAUCGCUAGUAAUCGUAGGUCAGACAUACUACGGUGAAUGCGUUCUCGGGUCUUGUACACACCGCCCGUCACACCAUGGGAGUUGGUAAUACCCAAAGUCGGUAGAUUAACCUUUUGGAGAUCGCCGCCUA